AGGAUAACAAGACAACAGGGCACAAAAAUGGAGAAUUAACCUUGCAUUGUAUUCCAUAUAAGCACCAUCUUUAAGGGGAUCCACUGAAGAUUUUUGGAAGAAAGGUACAAUGCCUAAAAAACAGAAUCUUAAGAAGUUUAGUGUAGUACAAGUUAUAAGGUCAAUGAGGUACCAGCUAGAAGUGAAGGACUUCAGGCAUAAAGCAAAAUGGGAAGAUUAAGCCUACAUUCAUGAUAAAUGGUGGUGAAAAUGCAGA
rnacentral:lncRNA from 1 species